rnacentral:rRNA from 1 species
UACGUAGGGUGCGAGCGUUGUCCGGAUUCAUUGGGCGUAAAGAGCACGCAGGCGGUUUGUCACGUCUGCUGUGAAAUCCCGAGGCUCAACCUCGGGCCUGCAGUGGGUACGGGCAGACUGGAGUGCGGUAGGGGGAGAAUGGAAUUCCUGGUGUAGCGGUGGAAUGCGCAGAUAUCAGGAGGAACACCGAUGGCGAAGGCAGUUCUCUGGGCCGUAACUGACGCUGAGGAGCGAAAGCGUGGGUAGCAAACAGG